rnacentral:siRNA from 1 species
CACGGUGGGGGUGCUGGUGGU